rnacentral:rRNA from 1 species
AACAGCUGCGGUAUUUUAACUGUACUAAGGUAGCAUAAUAAUUUGCCUUAUAAUUUGAGGCUAGAAUGAAUGGUUUGACGAAGGUUAGACUGUCUCUAUUUUACUUUUUAGAAAUUAAUUUUCAUAGUGAAAAAGCUUGAAUUUUUUAAAGGGACGAGAAGACCCUAUUGAGCUUGUAAUUUUAUUGUUAUUAUUAUAUUAAUUGUUAAUGGUAAUAUAUAAAUUUUAAUUGGGGUGAUUAAGGAAUAAAAUUUUAUAUUAGUAACUUCCUUAAUAAGAUGAUUGUUAGAUAAAGUAACCAAUAUUAUUAAAUAUUAUUGCUUAUAUUGUAGUUACCAUAGGGAUAACAGCGUAAUUUAUUUAGAGAGUUCUUAUUGAAAAAUAAGAUUGCGACCUCGAUGUUGGAUUAAAGUAACCUUAAGGUGCAGAAGCUUUAAUAAGGUAAAUCUGUUCGAUUUUUAAAACUUUACGUGAUCUGA